GAUGAACGCUGGCGGCGUGCUUAACACAUGCAAGUCGAACGGAAAGGCUCCUGCUUGCAGGGGUACUCGAGUGGCGAACGGGUGAGUAACACGUGGGUGAUCUGCCCUGCACUUCGGGAUAAGCCUGGGAAACUGGGUCUAAUACCGGAUAGGACGAUGGUUUGGAUGCCAUUGUGGAAAGUUUUUCGGUGUGGGAUGAGCUCGCGGCCUAUCAGCUUGUUGGUGGGGUAAUGGCCUACCAAGGCGUCGACGGGUAGCCGGCCUGAGAGGGUGUACGGCCACAUUGGGACUGAGAUACGGCCCAGACUCCUACGGGAGGCAGCAGUGGGGAAUAUUGCACAAUGGGCGCAAGCCUGAUGCAGCGACGCCGCGUGGGGGAUGACGGCCUUCGGGUUGUAAACUCCUUUCGCUAGGGACGAAGCGCAAGUGACGGUAACUGGUGAAGAAGCACCGGCUAACUACGUG
rnacentral:rRNA from 1 species